rnacentral:piRNA from 1 species
GAAUCAUUUGAGGGCUCUGUUCGUG